rnacentral:rRNA from 1 species
UACGGGGGGGGCAAGCGUUGUUCGGAAUUACUGGGCGUAAAGGGCUCGUAGGUGGCCAACUAAGUCAGACGUGAAAUCCCUCGGCUUAACCGGGGAACUGCGUCUGAUACUGGAUGGCUUGAGUUUGGGAGAGGGAUGCGGAAUUCCAGGUGUAGCGGUGAAAUGCGUAGAUAUCUGGAGGAACACCGGUGGCGAAGGCGGCAUCCUGGACCAUUACUGACACUGAAUAGCGAAAGCCAGGGGAGCAAACGGG